rnacentral:sRNA from 1 species
UCAUAACAUUUCAACGUCCACAACAAAAUUCGUAUCAUUUGUGCCCUAAACAGAAAUAUUCAAUCUGCCUUCAAAACCAAACCAAAAAAUAUUGUAAAAUUAAAGGAAAAAAACUAUUCAGCUUCAGAGGUUGCAUGAAGACAACAAAAAUUUUUUUUUUUGUUGUUGUAAGUUGUUGCCCGAUACAGUUGUAGAAAAAGUAUCAUAAUACGUUUAUGAUAUAAUUAAUAUGUAAUUUUGAAAUUGAUACAUGAUGUACAUGAAAGUGCAGAAAAAUAAUUGAAGCUGCACGGCACAGUAAUAUAUUGUUGUUCACCUUUCAUAUAUAUAAUAUAUAUGAAAAAUUAUGAAUAAAUGAAAAUUGUUACUAUUAU